rnacentral:tRNA from 1 species
CUGUAGCUCAGUAGGUAGAGCACUUGACUUUUAAUCAAGGUGUCCGGGGUUCGAAUCCCCGCA